ensembl:lincRNA
AUGGAGCCGCAAGGAGUUCAGGCCACAACUUGGGGAGGAAGAUGGCAUGAAAAAACGAGGCCUCCCCUGAACAUAAGCUCUAUUGCAUCUUUUGGAGCAAAAAUUAAUAUAAGGCUUGGUCUUAUUUUCAGGGAAAUGCAGCAGGAAGACGAGGGCUUGGGGUGUGGAGGCUGGAGCUGCAGGAAAAUAUGUCACCAAGUCCUGACGCAAUGUGUCCGAGGGCGGAGUCAGGAGGCCGGGCUGGUGCACAGGCCCCUCCCCGGAUCACCUGGGCCCUGGUUUGCGGGCCCGGCUGUCCCCCAGGAAGCUCUCCGAUGGCCCUGGACACAAGGCACCCAUGGUCCUGCUGCCCGUUAUCCUCAGACGUGCAUCGCCAGGGCUGUGACGGGACUGAGCCGGGGGGCACAGGCAGCCGCGUGGCCGGUCUGGAAAGGAGCAGGGCCACCAUCACCCACCUGGCCGGGGAGGGGCUGUAGUUAUAGCAGCUCUUCACAGUAGGCCCUGGCAACUGAACGUCUAACUUUUCGGGUGCUUCCAAAAUCUCAGGUAAGGAGAGCUCCUGCAGCUGCGGUCCCAUGGUACGCUCGGGUUGGUCUCCAAAAGCCCCAUUUAGAGCCGUCUAGGGAGCAGGAGCCCUGGAACACGCUGUUCCACUCAGCGCAGUCCCAGAGAGGGACUCUCACAGCCCUGUCAGCGCCCGGCGGGUGGUGACUCCAGGAGCCCUCGGGUAGCAGCAGCCAGGACACCUGGCUGGGGCGCUCAUGCGGGUCAGAGCUGAUCUCACUUCCCUCCCCCAGGUGAGCCGGAGGUCCGAGGUCCCUAGAGGAGGACACAGAGGCACCUGAUCCCCUUCCUGCCUCUCCAGCCAGUGCCACACAGGCCCCAGGGGUGGGAAGGGACGCACGUGUGGAUGGCAGUGCCAGCCCGGCAGGGGUCCGGUCCAGCUUGCUCCUAGGCUCCGGAGAACAUGCCCGGAGAUGGGCCACAGCCGUUAACCACACCGCCCUCGCCUGGUCUCCUGGUGCCCCGUGUAGUGACCUUUCCAAGCCACCAUCAACCUCCUACAGUCAGCCAGAUGGGGACCGAGCAGAAGGAGCGGAAAGGGAAGUGGGAGGCGGAACCUUGGGUCUGACCCGAAGAGGGGCAGAGGGAGGGGAAGGGGGCUGCGGGGGAGUGCGGGGCUCCCAGAAACCAGCCUAGCUCGGUGUUCCCAUCCUUCAGAUGCUGGCCAGGACCCGCAGAAGGAAGCAUGGUCUCAGGACAGCAAGGACCGAGGACCCCAGCUCCCGGCUGGUCAUGCACACAGCCCCAGGCAGGGCCUUUGUGGGUGCCCUUCCUCCUCUUCCUCUUCCUCUUAUUCCUUCCGUGUUUGUGUCCUGGGUGUUGAAGGCAGAGCUUUUACACUGAGCUAUAUCCCCAGCCCAUUUUAUUUUGAGAGAAAUUCUCACUAAGUUGCCCAGGGCAGCCUCAAACCUGAGAUUCUCCUGCCUCAGCUUCCCAGAGCGCUGAGAUUAUAGGCAUGUACCACCACACCUGGCUGGGGGUAGCUUGAUCCAGGACCCGCCCCAGGGCUGGCAGGUCCUCUGGCCUGGGAAAGUGUGUACACAGGCGUGUGGCGGGCAGGCAGACAUUGGGGUUCUGGUGGGCCCCUCCUCCCACCAUCUUUAACCACGCUGUCUGCUCUCCCUUCCUGAUGAUGGCAGGUGAGGCCAUUUGCCUGGCUCUUGGGGCCACCUGUGCACCCGGGCUCUGGCUGGUUUUCCGUGGUGUCGCCAGCACCUUGGACAGUGCCCACUGCCACCCCCGUGCAGGCAUAAAUGAAGUGGUAGAGGAAAGGGGACGCCCAUGUGUGCCAAGCGUCAGAGCCAUAAGGGACCUGCAGACCUGAGAGGCACCGUUUCUCCCAGGCGGUGACCCUCCCUGGCCGUGGCUCAGCCCGUGUCCCCACUGAGGUCCUGCACGUCCUGACUGGGGUGCAGCCUGCGAGUGAGGACCCCGAGGCCGGCGGGAGCCCAGCAGCACAGCCUCCACUGCCCACUGCUGUGGCCCAGGCUUGUGCCCACCUUCAGCAGCCUCGCCCAGCCUGGCCGCGGUGGCUCAGGGGAGCGGGGGAUUCUGGGAAGGCAGACUCAAACACAAACCGGCCACCCUGUGGGCCUGGUCUCGUCUCCGAGGCUCCAGGGAGCCCUGCGGUGCCACAGCAGAGGUCGCUCCUGCCGUCCCUGUUCGCGAGGCCUCCCUGACCAUAGCCAUUCUUCUCAUGGUGGCCUGAAUGGUCCCCGCAUCCCCGGGACCCAGGCCAGGUCACCUGCUCUGCACCCACCGGCCCACUGUCUGGGGGAGGACGGAAAGCUGGGUAACUCACCCGUGGCUGCACUGGGAGAGGAGGCAGGGCCAGGCUCGGAGCCAGGCAGGCGCCCUGGCCCACUGUGCUACCCAGCCCACCUGCCUCCCUCGGACCUCUGGCGCUGAGUGCUGGAGCAUGAGACAGAGGACUAGAACGUGACGGGAGCAGGCGGCUGCAACUGUGGCCAUGUAAGGGGGACAGUAGGUCAGGCUGUUGACUGAGCAAGAAGGUGUUAUCCCAGGCAGAUGGGAUGUGACUAGUGCAAAGAAGGACUGGCAGAUCAGAGCUGACCCCAGACUUCCUCAUGCCUUCAUGGGAACGCGUUUCUGUAGUGAGAUCCCCACGGAGCGGGACACAUUUCUAGACUGUGUGUGAACUCAUGCCUGCACGUCACCAGACUCCGUGCUCCCCAGAGACCUCCGCUCCUUUUGAGGAAGACCUGGGAAUCGACGGUUGUCUAUAUUAGUAGGGAGCCCUGAGCCCAUCAAAGCCACAUGCCUCUGUGGGGAGGGGCUGCAGCCUGCUCUGUGGUCUUCUCCCUGGCUUCCUCCAAGCAGCCGCCUUUCUUUCCUGUAAUAAACACAGUUCUCUCUCCCUUUCCAUGUCUGAUCCCCUUCUCACACCUGGUUAAGGACCUGCACCAGUGGGAACCCAGGUCCAGCUUCUGCGGGGAGGAGAGUGGAGUGGGGACGGGACAUGCAGGGGCCCCGAGCCGAGAGCUGGGAGCUGCCACCUCGAGCCCCCCAUGCCUGGCCACCUGGGCCGAGAGAAUCUGGGGCUCGAUACUGCGCUAUGGGAGGCCGGAACCACCAUUCCCGCCCAUGCCCCAUGCCCCAGGUGGCAGGCCAAGGGCUGACUGUCGCCUGGCUGCCUGGCCUUGGCCUGGGGCAGCUCCGCAAUCUGCUCCUGUGGGGAAGUCCCCACCCCUCCUGAGGCCUCUCUGACAUGGGGCAGGGCUCUUGCUAAGCUACCAAAGCGAAACAAAGGCCGCCUCCCUCCUGCCCUGCGUGACCGCAUCUGUCCCUCUUGUGUUUGCAUGUGACUUUCUCAAGUGACCAGGCUCGAAUGAGUUUCCUGAGACUUCUUGAAAGACCGCUGGACACCCAGGUGGCUUGAGCAGCACCCAGGGAGGCCAGGGUGCCAGGCCUGGGGUAGCAGGGCAGCGCCAUCCCCACAGACCCCAGGGCAGGGUCCGUCCUUGCCUCUCCAGCUCUGGUGGCCCGGCUCGUGGCUGUGUCACUGCAGUCUCUGCCUCGGUCUCCUCGUCACCUCUUCCUGGUGUUGAUCUCCGUGCCUUCCCACGAGGACAUGUGAGAGAGUCUAGGGGCCCCGCGAAUCCAGCAAGACCCCUCUCCCGAUCUGUAACUUCAUCACCAAAAGAGACUGCGUCACCGGCAGUGGUCCUUGGGCUGGGACCCAGGGCACAAGAGGUGCGCCCCGUGGAAGCCCUCUGUGCCCAGGCUGAGGCUAUGCACAGCCGUGCCUGAGAGCUCUGCCCCAGCACCCUGCCGCCUGCUUCUCCCUGCGCCAGCCUGUCCUCCGCCUGGAGGUGCACCCGGAGGGCCAGCCGCACCCACCCCACCUUAUCCCUGCUCAUCGGAGCCGUGGGCACAGCACCUCCCACCGGCCAGCUCCCUGCAAUGCCUUCACCCUUCUCACACCAAUGAUGGGGCCAGUGAGGCCCCAACCCAAAUCUCGGGGUGCAGCCUCGGCUUCGGAGACGUGGGCUCAAGUCUUCGCCACCUGGAGUCUCGGUUUUCCCAUCUGGGGAACGGGAGUGGGAAAACUUCACCCUGACUCUGUGCCCACGAAAGGGUGAUGACAGGACCCUGGGGCAGCACAGCGGGCAGCACUCCCACGCUUGGCCGCUGAGCAACCCUAGCUGCCCUGGGAGGUGCGCAAAGGGGCAGCCUACCCUGCAGCCACUUCUCUCUCCAGCCCUUCCCUUGGCUUGUUCCUCUAUGAGGCCUAGAGGACCCUGUUCCAACACAGAAUCACAUGGCACAAGACUCCUUUUGCUUGUAAGUGACAGAACCCAUCCUGAGCUCAUUUAGAAAAGAAGAGGGUUUGCAGGUGGACUCAAGUGGAAAAUGUAGGAUGUACCUGGCUUCAGGCAUGGCUGGAUCCAGGAGUUCAAAAUGGGCUUUGUCGCUGAUCCCUGAAUUAUUCAGACUCUAACUUGUCUGUGUCCCUGGUGGCUUUAUUCUCGCCAAGACAGCUCAGGGAGCUCUGACCUGAAGGGUUGGAGCCACACUGUGUUGAUUUUCCAGCGACAGCUCAGGCAGGAUUUUUGGAUGCUCAGACUUGGGCCACUGAGCUGCCAGCUCCUGGGCUGGAGAAGCGCAGUCCUCCUGCGGGCCUCCUAGGGCCUCUCCCUCCCCUUCUCC